UACGUAGGUGGCGAGCGCUGUCCGGAUUUACUGGGCGUAAAGGGAGCGUAGGCGGAUUUUUAAGUGAGAUGUGAAAUACUCGGGCUCAACUUGAGUGCUGCAUUUCAAACUGGAAGUCUAGAGUGCAGGAGAGGAGAAUGGAAUUCCUAGUGUAGCGGUGAAAUGCGUAGAGAUUAGGAAGAACACCAGUGGCGAGGGCGAUUCUCUGGACUGUAACUGACGCUGAGGCUCGAAAGCGUGGGGAGCAAACAGG
rnacentral:rRNA from 1 species